rnacentral:rRNA from 1 species
CGUAGGUGGCGAGCGUUAUCCGGAUUUACUGGGCGUAAAGGGUGUGCAGGCGGGACGUCAAGUGGUGUAUGAAAUCGCCCGGCUCAACCGGGUGGGGUUAUGCCAGACUGACGGCCUAGAGACCGAGAGAGGGGCGUGGAAUUCCGGGUGUAGUGGUGAAAUGCGUAGAGAUCCGGAGGAACCCCAGAGGACGAAGGCGGCGCCCUAGCUCGGUUCUGACGCUCAGACACGAAAGCAUGGGGAGCGAACGGGAUUAGAAACCCCGGUAGUCCAUGCCGUAAACGAUGUCGACUAGGCGCUGGGGGACUGAACCCCCUCGGUGCCGCAGCUAACGCGCUAAGUCGACCGCCUGGGGAGUACGGCCGCAAGGCUA